GUCUACGGCCAUACCACCCUGAACGCGCCCGAUCUCGUCUGAUCUCGGAAGCUAAGCAGGGUCGGGCCUGGUUAGUACUUGGAUGGGAGAAACGACACAUACUCACCAUUUACU
rnacentral:rRNA from 1 species